rnacentral:rRNA from 1 species
GACGAACGCGGCGGCGUGCCUAAUACAUGCAAGUCGAACGCACGAAGUUGAAGAGCUUGCUCUUUAACCAAGUGAGUGGCGGACGGGUGAGUAACACGUGGGUAACCUGCCCAUUAGAGGGGGAUAACAUUCGGAAACGGAUGCUAAUACCGCAUAGUUUCAGGGAUCGCAUGAUUCUUGAAGGAAAGGUGGCUUCGGCUACCACUAAUGGAUGGACCCGCGGCGUAUUAGCUAGUUGGUGAGGUAAUGGCUCACCAAGGCAAUGAUACGUAGCCGACCUGAGAGGGUGAUCGGCCACACUGGGACUGAGACACGGCCCAGACUCCUACGGGAGGCAGCAGUAGGGAAUCUUCCGCAAUGGACGAAAGUCUGACGGAGCAACGCCGCGUGAGUGAAGAAGGUUUUCGGAUCGUAAAACUCUGUUGUUAAAGAAGAACAAGGAUGAGAGUAACUGCUCAUCCCCUGACGGUAUUUAACCAGAAAGCCACGGCUAACUACGUGCCAGCAGCCGCGGUAAUACGUAGGGGGCAAGCGUUAUCCGGAUUUACUGGGUGUAAAGGGAGCGCAGACGGCAAUGCAAGUCUGAAGUGAAAGGCGUGGGCUCAACCCAUGAACUGCUUUGGAAACUGUAUAGCUUGAGUGUCGGAGGGGUAAGCGGAAUUCCUAGUGUAGCGGUGAAAUGCGUAGAUAUUAGGAGGAACACCGGAGGCGAAGGCGGCUUACUGGACGACAACUGACGUUGAGGCUCGAAGGCGUGGGGAGCAAACAGG